rnacentral:rRNA from 1 species
CAGCCGCCGCGGUAAUACGAAGGGGGCUAGCGUUGCUCGGAAUUACUGGGCGUAAAGGGCGCGUAGGCGGCGCUCCAAGUUAGGCGUGAAAUUCCCGGGCUCAACCUGGGGACUGCGCUUAAGACUGGAGUGCUUGAGGAUGGAAGAGGGUUGUGGAAUUCCCAGUGUAGAGGUGAAAUUCGUAGAUAUUGGGAAGAACACCGGUGGCGAAGGCGGCAACCUGGUCCAUUACUGACGCUGAGGCGCGAUAGCGUGGGGAGCAAACAGGAUUAGAUACCCCAGUAGUCCCUGUCUCUUAUAC